rnacentral:snRNA from 1 species
GUGCUCGCUUCGGCAGCACAUAUACUAAAAUUGGAACGAUACAGAGAAGAUUAGCAUGGCCCCUGCACAAGGAUGAUAUGCAAAUUCGUGAAGCAUUCCAUAUUUUA